ensembl:lncRNA
CCUACCUAGACCAGGCUGAUCCUGGACCAUCCCACAGAUGCUCCAUCAGAUGUGGAUGUGGGGAGUGUGGAACCCAGAUGUUCAGAGGGAGAUGAUGCCACAUCUGGUCCAGCUGAUGGAAGGUCUUGAAGUUCUGUGACUGGCCUCGACUGAAGAUGGUCGUCUCACUGGAUUUAAGGUUCAGAUGCUCAGUAACAAACUCCACCAAUGUGCCAACAAGGAAGCUUUAGGUUUAUUAAAUGUUGCUAUGAAGGUAUCACUGUUUUUCUUUGUGAAUGCAAUGUGCUCCAACUGAAACUUGAAUUAGAACUUAGAAGUAAAUCCUUCCAUCUGAAAGGAUUUAGUUGCAUUAAUAACCUCAUAACAUUCUAAUUUUUAUUCCAGUCUUGGCUGGAAAUAGAAUCUCUGUAUUGAUCCAGGUAAAAACUGAACUUCACAGCAUGUUGGAGCAAAACAACCAGAUGAAAACUGUGAUGGUGUUGGAUUGUCAGGCUGUAAUGUUGCAGCUCAAAGCAGCUUUUCUAGCUCAGUUCAUUCUGACAUUCAGCUAUGAAUCAACACAGCAGAUGGUGAUCCAUGCUGUGGAAGUCUCACAUCUCCUGAUUUAAUGGAGCUGCUUUGCACUUUUUACACUGUUUAUUCACCAACACUUUAUUUAAUAAAAGUCCCAUCUAGUUUUUAUGAGGAAUGUGAUGUUUUAAUUUCUCUGUGAAAAACUGCAGUCUAAUGCAACAGCUGGAGUUGUAACAUCUGUCCUGAUAUUGAUCAUGAAGUAUUGAUCAGAAUACUUACGGUUAGCAGUCAUCCCUGAAGUUUUACAUUAAAAUCUUUACUUGUGUUGUGAACUUUGGUAAGAAGCAGAAACUUUUGCGUUGCCAUGGAUACAUGAGUGUUAAAUUCUGUCCAUGUUUCCAUUUUGGGAAAUGCAGUCCAGUUCCAGAAUGUGGAGGAAUUUAGUCUCACAAUCACAGACAACAAAUAUUAUCUGAAAGUCAGGUUAUUAUUGUUUAUCAGCACAAUACAAAAAGAUUAAUGUUAGAAAUAUUCCAGUUAAGACUCUAGAAUAUCAC